UACGGGGGGAGCAAGCGUUGUUCGGAUUUACUGGGCGUAAAGGGCGCGUAGGCGGUCAGCACAAGUCGGUUGUGAAAUCUCCGAGCUUAACUCGGAAAGGUCAACCGAAACUGUGCGACUAGAGUGCAGAAGGGGCAACUGGAAUUCUUGGUGUAGCGGUGAAAUGCGUAGAUAUCAGGAGGAACACCGAUGGCGAAGGCAGGUCUCUGGGCUACUACUGACGCUGAGAAGCGAAAGCAUGGGGAGCGAACAGG
rnacentral:rRNA from 1 species